GGUGGUUCUCGGGUGAUGCACCUUGGAAAUGGGCUCCCCCCUCUCUGGUUCUGGGGUGCGUCACCCAAGAACUGUU
rfam:Myotis brandtii contig282252, whole genome shotgun sequence.